UAUUUAUAUUAAUAUUCAUUUUAAUCAUUUUUUGUUUUGAAUUGUAUUCCUUAUGAAUAAAACUUGAUUUUUAACUCUUGACUCUUGAGACCAUCUUGCUUAUUCAAGUGUCCUGUCCCCUCUUGUGCUCUUAGAACUGACAGCUAAAGAUGGAUUCUGCAUGGUCCAGAGUUCCUGGGCUAAAUAGUAAAUUCAAAGCCACCAAUGGUUACCUAGAGUGAAAGUGUGUUUUGUGUGGAUAAUGUGUUCUUUUCUUGGAUGUACAUUUUAUGAUGUGAUCACUGCCAUACUUUAUCCAUGCGGUCAUGUUUUCUGCUAAUCUUAUAUAAAACAGUCUACAACACACGUUCAUUAUUGAUCCUGUGUAGCACAUUUUGACUAAUAUACACUCAUAUUUGUAGAGCUGUAGAAAAAUUGACAUUUCCAAAGGUAUAUGUAAGUAAUCCUAAUGGAGAACCAUAUGCUUCAGUCUUUCUUGCAAUACACUGUCAAUAUACCCCCACAGAUAAUGACCUCCAAAGUCAUGUUGGGAAAAAGGUUUUGAUAAAUGCUGUUGUCCUAGACCAUACAUAUGCUGUGUUUUUAUUGUUGUGGAUUAGGCGUAGAAUGAUAAUUUAUGUCAGUGGGUCUUUUUCUCUACUGUAUGUCUGUGGCCUGUCCUGGGUGAAUUUCCCUCAUAGUCCAAAAAAGGAAUCACAUUCCCUGUUGUAGAUCAUUGUUGGGAACCAUGUGCUUCUUCUGAGAGAGCAGCAGAGGUUCUAACCUGUGAGGCAUCACCACAGAUCCUGCAGGUUCUAACCUGUGAGUCAUCACCACAGAUCCUGCAGGUUCUAACCUGUGAGUCAUCACCACAGAUCCUGCAGGUUCUAACCUGUGAGUCAUCACCACAGAUCCUGCAGGUGGCUUUUGUCUUUCCAGGGCAUGUGCUCCCUUAGGUGGACAGGGUACCUCAAAUUAAACAGAGAGAUCUCAGGAAAUGUGUAUUCUUACUGGGCUGUGCAGGCUCAAUGUGUUAGUCUACCAGGCAUACAUACAGGGCUCAGGUGGCCCCACUGCUCAUUGAGGAUUCAGGAUGUUCCUCCAGCAUCACUUAGUUUCCAUAUUAGAGCAGAUACAUCACCUAGUAUCAGUGAUGACCAUAUCUACUAUGCACAUUUAUAAAAUACAGAAUGGAAACCAUCUUCUUGUAGGCCUGCUGCACAUAAUGAAUUCUUUUGAUAAAUAUUAAGAAAAUUAUCUUAAUCUAAGCCGUUUAGGGAGGAACCUCAAGAGCAACCAUAGUGAAUGCAGCCUACAGCUGUGAGCACAUGUUUCUUUUGGAUAGCAAGCCUGUGCAAACCCAGAACCUAGGUGGGCCAGUUCAAGCUGCCCUUUUUCUGUGGCAAAUCUGGGUUCCUGUUGUAAAAGUAUUUUUUUCCAGGUGACUGAUUUCCAAUUUAUGGAAUUGAACUGACUUACUCAGAGUCUGAGUUACUCAGAAAGUUAAAGUUCAGAAGGAAUGAUCCAGAAUGUCCACAAACAGUUGCUGUGACACCAAGGCUUUUAAGAGCUCAGCAUCUAGAGAAGCAAUGUAUUGUUUGUUUAUUCUCAAGCAUAGGUCCUCUAGUCAUUCAUUAUAAGCUGACCAUGCCACAGAAAGUGUCGUCUGUAUCAAAACAGAAGCUAGUGGUAACUAGAUAUCCACCACACUUUCACAUUGCCAGUGUAUUUGAGCUUCUCAGUUACUAUGAAAGGACCUGGAAGAGCUAGGGUCUUGCUAUACAUAUUCCUAAUUUAUUAGCCUUCAAGACAAGGUGUGCUUUGUCUUGCUAAUGCUACCACUGGCAUACAAUACCUUGCAUAAUUUCUACUGACAUCUGUGACAGGAGACAAUAGUUCAAGUUAUCCCUUACUUGAAUAAACUGUUCUUAGAGUAAAUUGUAGUCUGAGGGGCCUUCCAUUCUCUCUGACAUUGUAAACAUUUCCAGUCUUCAGAAAAGUCUGUCACUGUCCAGUACAAAUCUUAAGAUGUCCACACUGUCAGCUCGGUGUCUUCAUCCAGCUUGCC
rnacentral:sRNA from 1 species